GUCUUAUUGGUGGUUGUUGAAGAGUAACUAUCGCUAAUGCACAGCGCGGCAAAAUGUUAAAUUGAGGGUCAAAUGGGGCAAAUUACCCUUUUCCCAUCCGUUCAACCACCGUUGCUAUCUACGUCUGGUGCUUAAGCAGGCGGUUACAUUUAAUUAGUUAAGUGAUAAAACUAAAAGGGCUGGGAAAUUCUGCCUCGAUGACUACAUCACUUUAAAUCAUCAUUUAAUGAACGCAGCGUCUCAUCUCAUCUUCGUCCGCUUAUCCGGGGUCGGUUCGCGGGGGGAGCAUAUGCAUGUGUACGUUUUUCAAAUGACAUUUAGUAAUGGAAGCCUUCCCUCAGUUGCCCCAAAUGCAAUUUGAAACCUCCAAGAAAGCCAUGGGAGAAUCUAGGAGGAAUAUGGGUCUCCAAGUCCUUGAGGCAUCAGUCUUCGAUGAAGAGACAUGUUCAAUGUGUGGAGCUGACAGGCCCCCUGGAGAAGCACCUGCCAACACAGACUGGAUCCAGUGUGAUAAAUGUGACCGGUGGUUCCAUGCCCUCUGUUUGACCAUGGACCCCAGGACACUUAAAGAGCUCAAGCAAAAGCAAUGGCUGUGCAAAUAAAUAUUUUACCUGUUACCUG